rnacentral:rRNA from 1 species
UACGAAGGGGGCUAGCGUUGUUCGGAAUUACUGGGCGUAAAGCGCGCGCAGGCGGCUAUCUAAGUCAGUGGUGAAAGCCCGGAGCUCAACUCCGGAACUGCCAUUGAAACUGUUUAGCUUGAGGAUGAGAGAGGUGAGUGGAAUUCCCAGUGUAGAGGUGAAAUUCGUAGAUAUUGGGAAGAACACCGGUGGCGAAGGCGGCUCACUGGCUCAGUACUGACGCUCAGGCGCGAUAGCGUGGGGAGCAAACAGG